AACGAACGCUGGCGGCAUGCCUAACACAUGCAAGUCGAACGAGAUCUUCGGGUCUAGUGGCGCACGGGUGCGUAACGCGUGGGAAUCUGCCCUUUGGUUCGGAAUAACAGUUGGAAACGACUGCUAAUACCGGAUGAUGACGAAAGUCCAAAGAUUUAUCGCCAGAGGAUAAGCCCGCGUAGGAUUAGCUAGUUGGUGUGGUAAAGGCGCACCAAGGCGACGAUCCUUAGCUGGUCUGAGAGGAUGAUCAGCCACACUGGGACUGAGACACGGCCAGACUCCUACGGGAGGCAGCAGUGGGGAAUAUUGGACAAUGGGCGAAAGCCUGAUCCAGCAAUGCCGCGUGAGUGAUGAAGGCCUUAGGGCUGUAAAGCUCUUUUACCCGGGAUGAUAAUGACAGUACCGGGAGAAUAGCUCCGGCUAACUCCGUGCUAGCAGCCGCCGUAA
rnacentral:rRNA from 1 species